CCAGAGAUUAGAGUUUGAUCCUGGCUCAGGAUGAACGCUGGCGGCGUGCCUAAUACAUGCAAGUCGAGCGAAUGGAUUAAGAGCUUGCUCUUAUGAAGUUAGCGGCGGACGGGUGAGUAACACGUGGGUAACCUGCCCAUAAGACUGGGAUAACUCCGGGAAACCGGGGCUAAUACCGGAUAACAUUUUGAACCACAUGGUUCGAAAUUGAAAGGCGGCUUCGGCUGUCACUUAUGGAUGGACCCGCGUCGCAUUAGCUAGUUGGUGAGGUAACGGCUCACCAAGGCAACGAUGCGUAGCCGACCUGAGAGGGUGAUCGGCCACACUGGGACUGAGACACGGCCCAGACUCCUACGGGAGGCAGCAGUAGGGAAUCUUCCGCAAUGGACGAAAGUCUGACGGAGCAACGCCGCGUGAGUGAUGAAGGCUUUCGGGUCGUAAAACUCUGUUGUUAGGGAAGAACAAGUGCUAGUUGAAUAAGCUGGCACCUUGACGGUACCUAACCAGAAAGCCACGGCUAACUACGUGCCAGCAGCCGCGGUAAUACGUAGGUGGCAAGCGUUAUCCGGAAUUAUUGGGCGUAAAGCGCGCGCAGGUGGUUUCUUAAGUCUGAUGUGAAAGCCCACGGCU
rnacentral:rRNA from 1 species